UCGGCCCCGGUUCACGUACGGGCGGUCACCCCACCUCGUCCGCCAUCGGGCAGGCGGGGCCCGGACGACCCGGUGCC
rfam:Streptomyces fradiae strain ATCC 19609 contig0001, whole genome shotgun sequence.